AAAAUCCGCUGUAACAAUUCUGAGGCGUGAUGGGGAAGGCCAUAUAGGCCGAAGUACAUGAUUCCAUGCUUCCAAGAAAAGCAUCUAGAGAGAGAAGUAGUGCCCGUACCGCAAACCGACACAGGUAGAUGAGGAGAGAAUCCUAAGGCCGGCGGAAGAAUUGCAGUUAAGGAACUAGGCAAAUUGACCCCGUAAGUUCGCGAGAAGGGGUGCCUGCGAGAGCAGGCCGCAGAGAAUAGGCCCAAGCAACUGUUUAGCAAAAACACAGGUCUCUGCUAAAGCGUAAGCUGAUGUAUAGGGGCUGACGCCUGCCCGGUGCUGGAAGGUUAAGGGGAACACUUAGCGCAAGCGAAGGUGUGAACUUAAGCCCCAGUAAACGGCGGCCGUAACAAUAACGGUCCUAAGGUAGCGAAAUUCCUUGUCAGGUAAGUUCUGACCCGCACGAAUGGCGUAAUGACUUGGGCACUGUCUCAACUGCAAAUCCGGCGAAGUUGUAGUGCGAGUGAAGAUGCUCGCUACCCGCGAUUGGACGGAAAGACCCCGUAGAGCUUUACUGUAGCUUAGCAUUGAAUUCCGGUAUUGUCUGUACAGGAUAGGUGGGAGACUGGGAAACUAGGGCGUCAGCCUUAGUGGAGUCAACCUUGGGAUACCACCCUGACAGUACUGGGGUUCUAACAGGACGCCAUGAAUCUGGUGACUGGACAUUGUUAGGUGGGCAGUUUGACUGGGGCGGUCGCCUCCUAAAAAGUAACGGAGGCGCCCAAAGGUUCCCUCAGAACGGUCGGAAAUCGUUUGUAGAGUGCAAAGGCAGAAGGGAGCCUGACUGCGAGACAUACAAGUCGAGCAGGGACGAAAGUCGGGCUUAGUGAUCCGGUGGUACCUCGUGGGAGGGCCAUCGCUCAACGGAUAAAAGCUACCUCGGGGAUAACAGGCUGAUCUCCCCCAAGAGUCCACAUCGACGGGGAGGUUUGGCACCUCGAUGUCGGCUCGUCGCAUCCUGGGGCUGUAGUAGGUCCCAAGGGUUGGGCUGUUCGCCCAUUAAAGCGGCACGCGAGCUGGGUUCAGAACGUCGUGAGACAGUUCGGUCCCUAUCCGUCGCGGGCGUAGGAAAUUUGAGAGGAGCUGUCCUUAGUACGAGAGGACCGGGAUGGACUGACCUCUGGUGCACCAGUUGUUCCGCCAGGAGCAUGGCUGGGUAGCUAAGUCGGGAAGGGAUAAACGCUGAAAGCAUCUAAGCGUGAAGCCUCCCUCAAGAUGAGAUUUCCCAUAGCAUAAGCUAGUAAGACCCCUUGAAGAACACAAGGUUGAUAGGUCAGAGGUGUAAGUGCGGUAACGUAUUUAGCUGACUGAUACUAAUAGGUCGAGGGCUUGAUC
rnacentral:rRNA from 1 species